rnacentral:rRNA from 1 species
UACGUAGGGUCCGAGCGUUGUCCGGAAUUACUGGGCGUAAAGCGUGCGCAGGCGGUUUUGUAAGCCAGAUGUGAAAUCCCCGGGCUCAACCUGGGAAUGGCAUUUGGGACUGCAAGGCUGGGAGUGCGGCAGAGGAGACUGGAAUUCCGUGGUGUAGCAGUGAAAUGCGUAGAUAUCAGGAGGAAUACCGAUGGCGAAGGCAGGUCUCUGGGAGCUGGACA